rnacentral:tRNA from 1 species
GGGUUCAGUGGUUGAAUGCUCGCCUGCCACGCGGGCGACCCGGGUUCGAUUCCCGGCCA